rnacentral:rRNA from 1 species
GUUGUAUAGUCAAGUAAUUAAGUGCAUGUGGUGGAUGCCUUGGCAGUCAGAGGCGAUGAAAGACGUGAUAGCCUGCGAAAAGCUCCGGGGAGGCGGCAAAUAUCCUUUGAUCCGGAGAUGUCUGAAUGGGGGAACCCACCUACUUUAAGGUAGGUAUUGCAACAUGAAUACAUAGUGUUGCAAGGCGAACGAGGGGAAGUGAAACAUCUCAGUACCCUUAGGAAAAGAAAUCAAUUGAGAUUCCCUCAGUAGCGGCGAGCGAACGGGGAUCAGCCCAUUAAGUUAUGUGUGUUUUAGUGGAACGCUCUGGGAAGUGCGAACGUAGAGGGUGAUAUUCCCGUACACGAAAGGGCACACAUAAUGAUGACGAGUAGGGCGAGGCACGUGAAACCUUGUCUGAAUAUGGGGGGACCAUCCUCCAAGGCUAAAUACUCCUGACUGACCGAUAGUGAACCAGUACCGUGAGGGAAAGGCGAAAAGAACCCCUGUGAGGGGAGUGAAAUAGAUCCUGAAACCGCAUGCAUACAAGCAGUGGGAGCACCUUCGUGGUGUGACUGCGUACCUUUUGUAUAAUGGGUCAGCGACUUAUAUUCAGUAGCGAGGUUAACCGUAUAGGGAGCCGUAGAGAAAUCGAGUCUUAAUAGGGCGUUUAGUUGCUGGGUAUAGACCCGAAACCAGGCGAUCUAUCCAUGAGCAGGUUGAAGGUUGGGUAACACUAACUGGAGGACCGAACCCACUGUCGUUGAAAAGCCAGGGGAUGACUUGUGGAUAGGGGUGAAAGGCUAAUCAAGCCUGGUGAUAGCUGGUUCUCCCCGAAAGCUAUUUAGGUAGCGCCUCGGACGAAUACCAUAGGGGGUAGAGCACUGUUUCGGCUAGGGGGUCAUCCCGACUUACCAAACCGAUGCAAACUCCGAAUACCUAUGAGUACUAUCCGGGAGACAGACUGCGGGUGCUAACGUCCGUAGUCAAGAGGAAAACAAUCCAGACCGCCAGCUAAGGCCCCAAAAUCAUAGUUAAGUGGGAAACGAUGUGGGAAGGCAUAGACAGCUAGGAGGUUGGCUUAGAAGCAGCCACCCUUUAAAGAAAGCGUAAUAGCUCACUAGUCGAGUCGGCCUGCGCGGAAGAUGUAACGGGGCUAAAACUAUGUGCCGAAGCUGCGGAUGUAUACUUUGUAUACGUGGUAGGGGAGCGUUCUGUAAGCCGAUGAAGGUGUGUUGAGAAGCAUGCUGGAGGUAUCAGAAGUGCGAAUGCUGACGUGAGUAACGACAAAACGGGUGAAAAACCCGUUCGCCGAAAGACCAAGGGUUCCAGUCCAACGUUAAUCGGGGCUGGGUGAGUCGACCCCUAAGGCGAGGCCGAAAGGCGUAGUCGAUGGGAAAAUGGUUAAUAUUCCAUUACUUCUGUGUAAUGCGAUGAGAGGACGGAGAAGGCUAAAUCAGCCUGGCGUUGGUUGUCCAGGUGAAAGGAUGUAGGCAUGUAUCUUAGGCAAAUCCGGGGUACUCUAUGCUGAGAUCUGAUAGCAAGCUGUACUUGUACAGCGAAGUGGUUGAUGCCAUGCUUCCAGGAAAAGUCUCUAAGCUUCAGUUACACAGGAAUCGUACCCGAAACCGACACAGGUGGUCAGGUCGAGUAGACCAAGGCGCUUGAGAGAACUCUGCUGAAGGAACUAGGCAAAAUGGUACCGUAACUUCGGGAGAAGGUACGCUGUUGUUGGUGAUGGAACUCGCUUCCUGAGCUGACGACAGCCGCAGAAACCAGGCCGCUGCAACUGUUUAUUAAAAACAUAGCACUCUGCAAACACGAAAGUGGACGUAUAGGGUGUGAUGCCUGCCCGGUGCUGGAAGGUUAAUUGAUGGGGUUAGCGUAAGCGAAGCUCUUGAUCGAAGCCCCAGUAAACGGCGGCCGUAACUAUAACGGUCCUAAGGUAGCGAAAUUCCUUGUCGGGUAAGUUCCGACCUGCACGAAUGGCAUAAUGAUGGCGGCGCUGUCUCCAGCAGAGGCUCAGUGAAAUCGAAAUCGCUGUGAAGAUGCAGUGUACCCGCGGCUAGACGGAAAGACCCCGUGAACCUUUACUGCAGCUUGACACUGAACUUUGACCUUACUUGUGUAGGAUAGGUGGGAGGCUUUGAAGCUGGAACGCUAGUUCCAGUGGAGCCGUCCUUGAAAUACCACCCUGGUAAUGUUGAGGUUCUAACUCUGUCCCGUGAUCCGGGACGAGGACCGUGUCUGGUGGGUAGUUUGACUGGGGCGGUCUCCUCCUAAAGAGUAACGGAGGAGUACGAAGGUGCGCUCAGCGUGGUCGGAAAUCACGCGUAGAGUAUAAAGGCAAAAGCGCGCUUAACUGCGAGACCCACAAGUCGAGCAGGUACGAAAGUAGGUCUUAGUGAUCCGGUGGUUCUGUAUGGAAGGGCCAUCGCUCAACGGAUAAAAGGUACUCUGGGGAUAACAGGCUGAUACCGCCCAAGAGUUCAUAUCGACGGCGGUGUUUGGCACCUCGAUGUCGGCUCAUCUCAUCCUGGGGCUGAAGCAGGUCCCAAGGGUAUGGCUGUUCGCCAUUUAAAGAGGUACGCGAGCUGGGUUUAGAACGUCGUGAGACAGUUCGGUCCCUAUCUACCGUGGGCGCUGGAAAUUUGAGAGGAUCUGCUCCUAGUACGAGAGGACCAGAGUGGACGAACCUCUGGUGUACCGGUUGUGACGCCAGUCGCAUCGCCGGGUAGCUAUGUUCGGAAGGGAUAACCGCUGAAAGCAUCUAAGCGGGAAGCCUACCUCAAGAUAAGAUUUCCCUAGGACUUUAUGUCCUCUAAAGAGCCGUUCGAGACUAGGACGUUGAUAGGUUGGAUGUGGAAGCAUAGUGAUAUGUGAAGCUGACCAAUACUAAUUGCUCGUGAGGCUUGACUAUACAACACCCAAGCAGUUG